AGAAUCAACGCUGGCGGCGUGCCUAACACAUGCAAGUCGAACGAGAAAGUGGAGCAAUCCAUGAGUAAAGUGGCGCACGGGUGAGUAACACGUGACUAACCUACCCUUGAGUGGGGGAUAACCUAGAGAAAUCUGGGCUAAUACCGCAUAAUACCUUCGGGUCAAAGGAGCAAUUCGCUUAAGGAGGGGGUCGCGGCCGAUUAGUUAGUUGGCGGGGUAAUGGCCCACCAAGACUAUGAUCGGUAUCCGGCCUGAGAGGGCGCACGGACACACUGGAACUGAAACACGGUCCAGACUCCUACGGGAGGCAGCAGUGGGAAUUUGCGCAAUGGGGGAAACCCUGACGCAGCAACGCCGCGUGGAGGAUGAAGUCCCUUGGGACGUAAACUCCUUUCGAUCGGGACGAUUAUGACGGUACCGGAAGAAGAAGCCCCGGCUAACUUCGCGCCAGCAGCCGC
rnacentral:rRNA from 1 species